CUGAAUGGUCGAAAUACAGGUGCAGAUGCACAAAAGGAACCGGGUGAAAAUCCCGGACAAGACCGUUGCCGUGUUUAGCUCAAAGGGAUGUGCAGAGAAAAGCUUUCUCAGCCACUGGAAAAUUCCGGGAAGGCGCACAUACCGCUGAUUUCAGCAGCUAUCAGUCGGAAUACUUGCCUGUGUUUUACUCGUUUC
rnacentral:ncRNA from 2 species